GAUGAACGCUGGCGGCGUGCCUAAUACAUGCCAGUCGAGCGAACGGACGAGAAGCUUGCUUCUCUGAUGUUAGCGGCGGACGGGUGAGUAACACGUGGAUAACCUACCUAUAAGACUGGGAUAACUUCGGGAAACCGGAGCUAAUACCGGAUAAUAUUUUGAACCGCAUGGUUCAAAAGUGAAAGACGGUCUUGCUGUCACUUAUAGAUGGACCCGCGCUGCAUUAGCUAGUUGGUAAGGUAACGGCUUACCAAGGCAACGAUGCAUAGCCGACCUGAGAGGGUGAUCAGCCACACUGGAACUGAGACACGGUCCAGACUCCUACGGGAGGCAGCAGUAGGGAAUCUUCCGCAAUGGGCGAAAGCCUGACGGAGCAACGCCGCGUGAGUGAUGAAGGUCUUCGGAUCGUAAAACUCUGUUAUUAGGGAAGAACAUAUGUGUAAGUAACUGUGCACAUCUUGACGGUACCUAAUCAGAAAGCCACGGCUAACUACGCG
rnacentral:rRNA from 1 species